rnacentral:rRNA from 1 species
UACGGAGGAUCCGAGCGUUAUCCGGAAUUAUUGGGUUUAAAGGGUGCGUAUGCGGCCAUUUAAGUCAGCGGUGAAAUUUUGCAGCUUAACUGUAACAGUGCCGUUGAUACUGUUUGGCUAGGAUUUGGUUGUAGUGUGCGGAAUGUGUGGUGUAGCGGUGAAAUGCUUAGAUAUCAGGAGGAACACCGGCGGCGAAGGCGGCUUGCUGGACGGCAACCGACGUUGAGGCUCGAAAGCGUGGGGAGCAAACAGGAUUAGAUACCCGUGUAGU